rnacentral:precursor_RNA from 10 species
ACUUUUCCGCGCUGCAGUCUUUCGUUUACUCGCCGGGGUAUGACGUCGUACUGUGACGUAGGUUGCGCAGUAGUACGUCGUUCUCCGGACGGUAUUAGGAAGAACUAUCAUCAAGGACCCCC